rnacentral:rRNA from 1 species
GAUUACGGCCAUGCCACUCUGAACAAGUCCAAUCUCGUCUAAUCUCGGAAGCUAAGCAGGGUUGGUUCUGGUUAGUACUUGGAUGGUAAACCACCUAGGAAGACCAGGUGGUGUAGGCG